rnacentral:rRNA from 1 species
UACGUAGGGUGCGAGCGUUAAUCGGAAUUACUGGGCGUAAAGCGUGCGCAGGCGGCUUUAUUAGACAGAAGUGAAAUCCCCGGGGUCAACCUGGGAACCGCAUUUGUGACUGUAUAGCUAGAGUGCGGCAGAGGGGGGUGGAAUUCCGCGUGUAGCAGUGAAAUGCGUAGAUAUGCGGAGGAACACCGAUGGCGAAGGCAAUCCCCUGGGCCUGCACUGACGCUCAUGCACGAAAGCGUGGGGAGCAAACAGGAUUAGAUACCCUGGUAGUCCACGCCCUAAACGAUGUCAACUGGUUGUUGGGUCUUCACUGACUCAGUAACGAAGCUAACGCGUGAAGUUGACCGCCUGGGGAGUACGGCCGCAAGGUUG